rnacentral:tRNA from 1 species
AGCCCGAUAGUGUAGGGGUCCAUCAUGUCGGGUUUUGAUCCCGGCGACCUCGGUUCGAAUCCGGGUCGGGCUA